rnacentral:rRNA from 1 species
AAAACCAAAUACUGAAUUUGUGAUUCCUAGUAACUGGCAAUCUUAACCAAAGAUAACUCUCAACAACGGAUAUCUUGGCUCUCGCAACGAUGAAGAACGCAGCGAAAUGCGAUACGUAGUGUGAAUCGCAGCAUUCCGUGAACCAUCGAAUCUUUGAACGCAUAUAACGCUCGAGCCUCCGGGCAAGAGCAUGUCUGCCUCAGCGUCGGUUUACACCCUCACCCCUCCCACUUUGUUGGGUUGCUUGGCAACUUUGCCAGCAUAGGUGGUGGAUCUGGCUUCCCCAAUCUGCCGUCUGGUAGAUUGGGUUGGCUGAAGAGUAGAGGUUUAAGCAAGGACCCGUUAUGGGCUUCAACUGGAUAGGUAGCACCGGCUUGUGCCGACUACACGAAGUUGAUGCUCGUGGAUCUUGCUAGAGGCCAAGCAGGAACGUGCCCAUGGCACGUCUAAACUUUCGACCUGAGCUCAGGCAAGGCUACCCGCUGAACUUAAGCAUAUCAAUAAGCGGAGGAAAUG